GGGUUGUGAGGUUAAGCGACUAAGCGUACACGGUGGAUGCCCUGGCAGUCAGAGGCGAUGAAGGACGUGCUAAUCUGCGAAAAGCGUCGGUAAGGUGAUAUGAACCGUUACAGCCGGCGAUGUCCGAAUGGGGAAACCCAGUGUGAUUCGUCACACUAUCGUUAACUGAAUACAUAGGUUAACGAGGCGAACCGGGGGAACUGAAACAUCUAAGUACCCCGAGGAAAAGAAAUCAACCGAGAUUCCCCCAGUAGCGGCGAGCGAACGGGGAGCAGCCCAGAGUCUGAAUCAGCUUGUGUGUUAGUGGAACGGUCUGGAAAGUCCGACGGUACAGGGUGAUAGUCCCGUACACCAAAAUGCACAGGCUGUGAACUCGAAGAGUAGGGCGGGACACGUGGUAUCCUGUCUGAAUAUGGGGGGACCAUCCUCCAAGGCUAAAUACUCCUGACUGACCGAUAGUGAACCAGUACCGUGAGGGAAAGGCGAAAAGAACCCCGGCGAGGGGAGUGAAAAAGAACCUGAAACCGUGUACGUACAAGCAGUGGGAGCACCUUCGGGUGUGACUGCGUACCUUUUGUAUAAUGGGUCAGCGACUUAUAUUCUGUAGCAAGGUUAACCGUAUAGGGGAGCCGCAGGGAAACCGAGUCUUAACUGGGCGUUAAGUUGCAGGGUAUAGACCCGAAACCCGGUGAUCUAGCCAUGGGCAGGUUGAAGGUUGGGUAACACUAACUGGAGGACCGAACCGACUAAUGUUGAAAAAUUAGCGGAUGACUUGUGGCUGGGGGUGAAAGGCCAAUCAAACCGGGAGAUAGCUGGUUCUCCCCGAAAGCUAUUUAGGUAGCGCCUCGUGAACUCAUCUUCGGGGUAGAGCACUGUUUCGGCUAGGGGGUCAUCCCGACUUACCAACCCGAUGCAAACUACGAAUACCGAAGAAUGUUAUCACGGGAGACACACGGCGGGUGCUAACGUCCGUCGUGAAGAGGGAAACAACCCAGACCGCCAGCUAAGGUCCCAAAGUCAUGGUUAAGUGGGAAACGAUGUGGGAAGGCACAGACAGCCAGGAUGUUGGCUUAGAAGCAGCCAUCAUUUAAAGAAAGCGUAAUAGCUCACUGGUCGAGUCGGCCUGCGCGGAAGAUGUAACGGGGCUAAACCAUGCACCGAAGCUGCGGCAGCGACACUAUGUGUUGUUGGGUAGGGGAGCGUUCUGUAAGCCUGCGAAGGUGUGCUGUGAGGCAUGCUGGAGGUAUCAGAAGUGCGAAUGCUGACAUAAGUAACGAUAAAGCGGGUGAAAAGCCCGCUCGCCGGAAGACCAAGGGUUCCUGUCCAACGUUAAUCGGGGCAGGGUGAGUCGACCCCUAAGGCGAGGCCGAAAGGCGUAGUCGAUGGGAAACAGGUUAAUAUUCCUGUACUUGGUGUUACUGCGAAGGGGGGACGGAGAAGGCUAUGUUAGCCGGGCGACGGUUGUCCCGGUUUAAGCAUGUAGGCUGGUUGUCCAGGCAAAUCCGGAUAAUCAAGGCUGAGGUGUGAUGACGAGGCACUACGGUGCUGAAGUAACAAAUGCCCUGCUUCCAGGAAAAGCCUCUAAGCAUCAGGUAACAUCAAAUCGUACCCCAAACCGACACAGGUGGUCAGGUAGAGAAUACCAAGGCGCUUGAGAGAACUCGGGUGAAGGAACUAGGCAAAAUGGUGCCGUAACUUCGGGAGAAGGCACGCUGGUGUGUAGGUGAAGUCCCUGCGGAUGGAGCUGAGACCAGUCGAAGAUACCAGCUGGCUGCAACUGUUUAUUAAAAACACAGCACUGUGCAAACACGAAAGUGGACGUAUACGGUGUGACGCCUGCCCGGUGCCGGAAGGUUAAUUGAUGGGGUUAUCCGUAAGGAGAAGCUCUUGAUCGAAGCCCCGGUAAACGGCGGCCGUAACUAUAACGGUCCUAAGGUAGCGAAAUUCCUUGUCGGGUAAGUUCCGACCUGCACGAAUGGCGUAAUGAUGGCCAGGCUGUCUCCACCCGAGACUCAGUGAAAUUGAACUCGCUGUGAAGAUGCAGUGUACCCGCGGCAAGACGGAAAGACCCCGUGAACCUUUACUAUAGCUUGACACUGAACAUUGAGCCUUGAUGUGUAGGAUAGGUGGGAGGCUUUGAAGCGUGGACGCCAGUCUGCGUGGAGCCAACCUUGAAAUACCACCCUUUAAUGUUUGAUGUUCUAACGUUGGCCCCUUACCGGGGUUGCGGACAGUGUCUGGUGGGUAGUUUGACUGGGGCGGUCUCCUCCCAAAGCGUAACGGAGGAGCACGAAGGUUAGCUAAUCCUGGUCGGACAUCAGGAGGUUAGUGCAAUGGCAUAAGCUAGCUUGACUGCGAGCGUGACGGCGCGAGCAGGUGCGAAAGCAGGUCAUAGUGAUCCGGUGGUUCUGAAUGGAAGGGCCAUCGCUCAACGGAUAAAAGGUACUCCGGGGAUAACAGGCUGAUACCGCCCAAGAGUUCAUAUCGACGGCGGUGUUUGGCACCUCGAUGUCGGCUCAUCACAUCCUGGGGCUGAAGUAGGUCCCAAGGGUAUGGCUGUUCGCCAUUUAAAGUGGUACGCGAGCUGGGUUUAGAACGUCGUGAGACAGUUCGGUCCCUAUCUGCCGUGGGCGCUGGAGAAUUGAGGGGGGCUGCUCCUAGUACGAGAGGACCGGAGUGGACGCAUCACUGGUGUUCGGGUUGUCAUGCCAAUGGCACUGCCCGGUAGCUAAAUGCGGAAGAGAUAAGUGCUGAAAGCAUCUAAGCACGAAACUUGCCCCGAGAUGAGUUCUCCCUGAGACUAUAAGUCUCCUGAAGGAACGUUAAAGACGAUGACGUUGAUAGGCCGGGUGUGUAAGCGCAGCGAUGCGUUGAGCUAACCGGUACUAAUGAACCGUGAGGCUUAACCUUACAACGCCGAAG
rnacentral:rRNA from 1 species